AUAGAUACUUCUAACCAGUAGCGUUGUCUUGUUGUACGUUAAGUCAGCGACUUGUGUAGAGUUGUGUUUUGUCGUGUUUGAGCAGUUGGUCCAGACGCGUUAGCUAGCUAAGCGGCUAAGUUAGCUAGCGGGCUAAUUAACACAGGUGGCUAACUUACCGCUGAACACCUGUGUUAGUUGCUGCAGCAGCUGUCCUCAUUAUUAGAAUGACCUUCUCAACCUGUAUUUCUCUGCUGUGUAUUUUAGCUUUUAAAAAAGUUAUUUUACUUUAAGGUUAACUGAAACCCGUUCAGCUGCACUGAAGUUUAACAUUCAGCUGGUUUGAAUUAAACCUCGCUUAAUUUAACAUUGUGCAACAUUACCUCUCUGAAUCUCCAUAAUUUCAUUAAAUUCCUUCUCUCUUCCACUGCUCAAGUUCAAUCCAGUAUAUAAAAUGACAUUAAUAGUGAAUAAACUAACAACCAGCCAUUGUAUUUAUUUAUUAUUGCAUGUAUAUGUAGUAAAACAUGAGUUAAAACAUCCUACUUUUGGAUCUAGAACUGCACAAGCCGUUCAUUUUCAGUCACCUGACGAGUUAAACUCCCCUUUUUAUGUAAGGUUGAAGCAGAAAGUCUGAAUUAACAAAGAAAGUUGUUUAUAAUUUGCGAUACCUGUUAUCUCAGACUGAGGCUUUAGUUUUUAUUGAGCUGAUUUACACGUAGAAACUUUGUUCAGGAAGAUUUCUCAGUAGCUCAGAGGACAGGCUGCUUUUUACACAACCUUGUAAGAGAAUGUCUGUCAAUGCUUUCAGCAGAAUUUAGAAACACAACACUUCCUAAACAGAUGUUUUGAGGCUGUGAGGUUGAACGUUUGAGAGUAUAUCAGUGUGUUUGUUUGUGGUCUUUCUGUUUCUAGGUGGAAGCUGAAUUAGUGAGGAUGACUCCUGCUCCUGUCAUCUCUAAGCUCCUCACACAUCUUUACCUGCACAUGAGGAAAAUCACUCCUGUAGAAUGCAGGUAUGUUUGUCAUUAUUAUAAAAAGAUGUUGCCUGGUGACCUGUCAGAAACCCAUCAUACAGAGUCAGCCAAAAUAAUGUUUACACACAUCAGGAAAAGAAAAACUUGCAUACAUAUUUCAAUACUAAAUUUAUUCAUACAUCACCAGAUUAAUAAAAGUUAUCUUUGGCCGCUACAAUUACAAGAGGUGCUCAAAGUGGUGGCCACUGGCUUCCAGACAUUUCUGUUGUGUUGUAGACGUCACUUGUUGAUGCUCCAUUCAUGAGGGUAGCGCCAUCUGUUGGGAAAACAUCGUACAACAGGACACAGAGUUAUGGUGAUUUGAUCAAACUUAGAAAGAGGAAUCUAUAUGUAUAGAAGUACUUAUACAAAUGAAAUAUUUACAAAAGUUUUUCUUUUCCUGAUGUGUAUCUACAUUGUUUUGGCUGACUCUGACUCUGAACUUAAUGAGAACAAAACUGUCAUUUAAUUGUUGCUCUGAAAGCUUCUUUAGUGAAAACCAGCUGGUGUUCUGCUUUGAAACAAACUGCUUUUGAGGUCUGUGUUUUUAGGUUUAACCCCACAGUUUCUGAAUGAACUGAUAGUUGUUUUUUUUCCUGAUCAAUGUGGACGUUAUAAUUGAUGGUAACAUUUACUGAUCAUAUAAUCAGCAUGACAAUAUAACAGUAGAACAUUCUGACCACCUGACUAAUACUGUGUUGGUCCCUUUAUGCUGCUAAAACUCCUCUGACCCAGUGGUUCAUCAGAACCUCUGGGCAUGUCCUGUGGAUUCUGUGGGUCCUGUGGGUUGCAGGGUGGGUCCUACCUAGACCAGGCUGAUCCUGGACCAUCCCACAGAUGCUCAGUCAGAUGUGGAUGUGGGGAGUGUGGAACCCAGAUGUUCAGAGGGAGAUGAUGCCACAUCUGGUCCAGCUGAUGGAAGGUCUUGAAGUUCUCUGACUGGCCUCAACUGAAGAUGGUCCUCUCUCUGGAUUUAAGGUUCAGAUGCUCAGUAACAAACUCCACCAAUGAGCCAACAGGGAAGCUUUAGGUUUAUUAAAUGUUGCUAUGAAGGUUUCGCUGUUUUUCUUUGUGAAUGCAAUGUGCUCCAACUGAAACUUGAAUUAGAACUUAGAAGUAAAUCCUUCCAUCCGAAAGGAUUUAGUUGCAUUAAUAACCUCAUAACAUUCAAAUUUUUAUUCCAGUCUUGGUUGGAAAUAGAAUCUCUGUAUUGAUUCAGGUAAAAACUGAACUUCACAGCAUGUUGGAGCAAAACAACCAGAUGAAAACUGUGAUGGUGUUGGAUUGUCAGACCGUAAUGUUGCAGCUCAAAGCAGCUUUUCUAGCUCAGUUCAUUCUGACAUUCAGCUAUGAAUCAACACAGCAGAUGGUGAUCCAUGCUGUGGAAGUCUCACAUCUCCUGAUUUAAUGGAGCUGCUUUGCACUUUUUACACUGUUUAUUCACCAACACUUUAUUUAAUAAAAGUCCCAUCUAGUUUUUAUGAGGAAUGUGAUGUUUUAAUUUCUCUGUGAAUAACUGCAGUCUAAUGCAACAUCUGGAAUUGUAACAUCUGUCCUGAUAUUGAUCAUGAAGUAUUGAUCAGAAUACUUAUGGUUAGCAGUCAUCCCUGAAGUUUUACAUUAAAAUCUUUACUUGUGUUGUGAACUUUGGUAAGAAGCAGAAACGUUAGCGUUGCCAUGGAUACAUGAGUGUUAAAUUCUGUCCAUGUUUCCAUUUUGGGAAAUGUAGUCCAGUUCCAGAAUGUGGAGGAAUUUAGUCUCACAAUCACAGACAACAAAUAUUAUCUGAAAGUCGGGUUAUUGUUGUUUAUCAGCACAAUACAAAAAGAUUAAUGUUAGAAAUAUUCCAGUUAAUACUCUAGAAUAUCAUGAUUUAUGUAAAUUUACCUCAAUAAUAUGAAUGUUCAGGUUAAGAUUGUUCAGUGAUAUUUAUUAUGUAAGUUUAGCUGAUUAAAGUUUAUGACUCUGCACUAAAAUAUUAUUUAAAUUGACAUCAUUAUUGUAAUAUUUAGGGUCAGACCCUAAGUAUUGAGAUUAAGAAAUCAAAUAUUCUAUAAAAUGUAAAUACACUGAACUCAUUUGGAUAUAUUUAAGUGAGACUCUACAAUAUUAUUUGACACAAAUCUAUCUAAAUCAAAAUUUUAAUAAUUUUCACACCAAACAUUUACUGGACUGAUUUAAAUAUUAAAAUCACUCCUUUCUAAUCCUCUGCUGUACGUUCAAACCUGAGGCCUUAAAUAGAAACACACAAGUAUCUGAUUGAAGGAACUUCUGCAGAGUCCUGGUUCCAGAACAUGAUGAUAGAAUUAUAGACAAACUUUAACAAAAGCUGCCUGAGAGUUUACAGGUUUUUAUGUUAGAUUUCUUCAGUAAUUUAAUGAGUUAUCAGCAAUAAUCAAGUGUUCAUUUGAUGAACUUCAUUUCCUAAAACAUCCAGAAUUGGAGCUCAUACCUUUUAGAGCUGUAAAGUUUCUGCUCCUUCAAAGUUCACAACACAAUGAAUGAAUUCCUAAAACACUCUCAAUGUUGGAGAGCGUUUGUGAUGCUGAAGCAGUGAUCAGUUUUUCUGUUUCUUCUCUGGAGAUGCACAAUGAGGGACGUCUGCAGCAACUGAGAAAGAGUCUCACCACAUCCUGACAUGAGGAAAAAGACUUUAUUGAAGACUGCAAUGAGAAAAACUAUCAGACAGCAGACGGCUGCAUUCAAGGUGAGCUCUGAACAUUUGAUCUGGAACAGGAAUUCAAUCACAGCAGCAUGAGCUUCAUUUCAGUCUGUAGCUGCUGAAUUCAUGGAUGAAUCAUCUGGCACUAGAGAGGAAGACCAUCAAACAUCCACGUCAGCUGAUGGAGGUCCAAGAGUCUCACCCAACAAAACCUACAGAGUGAAGACCUCAAAUCUGAUUGGACGGCCUCCUAUUCAGCCACAUGUGUGAACAAAUGCCUCUAAGCUGAUUUGUUUUCUAAAAUAAAUCUAGUUUGAGUCCUAAUCUA